rnacentral:lncRNA from 1 species
CCAUGCCAUCUCACAAACAAGCCCUAAGGCAACGACUAUUAAAUCAACUCGUAGCCCCUGCAAAUCCAAGCCUUGCUCUAAUUUGCUGCUCAUCCUACCACCUACAACAUUGUUCUCUUUUCAAAUCUCUAGAAAACUAUAUCUAUCGCUAUAAUAAAAUGAUCAUCUAUCUAAAACUACACAAUCCCAAGUAUCACAUCUCCACAUUCCUACCUUCGAAACUUCACUUACAAAAUGUAUUCAAACAACUAGUACAUAUAUUGUCAUACUUCUUCCCUUUCAUUAGCACCA